rnacentral:rRNA from 1 species
UUUUAUGAGAGUUUGAUCCUGGCUCAGGACGAACGCUGGCGGCGUGCCUAAUACAUGCAAGUCGUACGCUUCUUUUUCCACCGGAGCUUGCUCCACCGGAAAAAGAAGAGUGGCGAACGGGUGAGUAACACGUGGGUAACCUGCCCAUCAGAAGGGGAUAACACUUGGAAACAGGUGCUAAUACCGUAUAACAAUCGAAACCGCAUGGUUUUGAUUUGAAAGGCGCUUUCGGGUGUCGCUGAUGGAUGGACCCGCGGUGCAUUAGCUAGUUGGUGAGGUAACGGCUCACCA